rnacentral:rRNA from 1 species
AUUGAACGCUGGCGGCAUGCUUUACACAUGCAAGUCGAACGGCAGCGCGGGCUUCGGCCUGGCGGCGAGUGGCGAACGGGUGAGUAAUGCAUCGGAACGUGCCCAGUCGUGGGGGAUAGCCCGGCGAAAGCCGGAUUAAUACCGCAUACGACCUGAGGGUGAAAGCGGGGGACCGAAAGGCCUCGCGCUAUUGGAGCGGCCGAUGUCGGAUUAGCUAGUUGGUGGGGUAAAGGCUUACCAAGGCGACGAUCCGUAGCUGGUCUGAGAGGACGACCAGCCACACUGGGACUGAGACACGGCCCAGACUCCUACGGGAGGCAGCAGUGGGGAAUUUUGGACAAUGGGGGCAACCCUGAUCCAGCCAUGCCGCGUGCGGGAAGAAGGCCUUCGGGUUGUAAAACGCUUUUGUUCGGGAAGAAAUCCUCUGGGCUAAUACCCCGGGGGGAUGACGGUACCGGAAGAAUAAGCACCGGCUAACUACGUG